GUACGGGAGGCAGCAGUGGGGAAUCUUCCGCAAUGGACGAAAGUCUGACGGAGCAACGCCGCGUGAGUGAAGAAGGUUUUCGGAUCGUAAAGCUCUGUCUGGUGGGACGAAUGGGUUUAGGUUAAAUAAGCUUAAGCCGUGACGGUACCGCCGGAGGAAGCCCCGGCUAACUACGUGCCAGCAGCCGCGGUAAUACGUAGGGGGCGAGCGUUGUCCGGAAUUACUGGGCGUAAAGCGCGCGUAGGCGGCCUGUUAAGUCAGGUGUGAAAACUUACGGCUCAACCGUAAGAUGGCACAUGAAACUGGCAGGCUUGAGGACAGGAGAGGAAAGCGGAAUUCCUAGUGUAGCGGUGAAAUGCGUAGAUAUUAGGAGGAACACCAGUGGCGAAGGCGGCUUUCUGGACUGAACCUGACGCUGAGGUGCGAAAGCCAGGGGAGCAAACGGGAUUAGAUACCCCGGUAGUCCU
rnacentral:rRNA from 1 species